AGACUCAAUUUUCUGCCCACCUCAAGCAAUCCAAAAUGUGGACAAAAUAUGUGCAACGUGGUUUUCUGACAUGGGAUAUCAGGCGACACAGGACAGUGAUAGCUGAUAGGAAGAAAUGAAUGAGAAAACAUGAAGCUCUAUGAGGCCAGUGGACCUGUACAUCUUGUUGACAUAUUGACAGCAGUUCUUGUCAAGCCACCUUUCCUGCUCUAGGCAGACAUGUGUCAUGUCAGACUUCUGGCUUUUGAAAUAGGGUUAUUGCAUGACCUUUUGUUUUGCUUCAGACACUGUAUCUGCUUUGGUGAAUAAAUAUCAUCUGCUCUGCCCUGGAUUCUCAGCAAAUGCCAUAAAUGAGCAAGGCAAAGAAAAAAAAUGGCAC